AUUGGACGCUGGCGGAAUGCCUUACACAUGCAAGUCGAACGGUAGAGGGGGCAACCCCUCGAGAGUGGCGAACGGGUGAGUAAUAUAUCGGAACGUGCCCAGUCGUGGGGGAUAACGUAGCGAAAGUUACGCUAAUACCGCAUACGAUCUAAGGAUGAAAGCGGGGGAUCGCAAGACCUCGCGCGAUUGGAGCGGCCGAUAUCAGAUUAGGUAGUUGGUGGGGUAAAGGCUCACCAAGCCAACGACCUGUAGCUGGUCUGAGAGGACGACCAGCCAGACUGGAACUGAGACACGGUCCAGACUCCUACGGGAGGAAGCAGUGGGGAAUUUUGGACAAUGGACGCAAGUCUGAUCCAGCCAUUCCGCGUGCAGGAUGAAGGCCCUCGGGUUGUAAACUGCUUUUGUACGGAACGAAAAGGUCUCUCUUAAUACGGGGGACUCAUGACGGUACCGUAAGAAUAAGCACCGGCUGACUACGUGCCAGCAGCCGCCGUAACAC
rnacentral:rRNA from 1 species